GAAAUGUCGCAGAUAUUCUGUUCGUUUCGUGUAUUCCGAUUCAAUUUCAAAUUUGGAAAUGCUAUGCAAUUUUUUUCUGUUCAAGUUUUUUUGAUCUCCCAAGGAAUGCAAGAAAUAGGUCUUUAAUUAUCAAUUGAAACAAUCAAGAGACAUCAAGAUUAAUUUAAUCUUCUGUGGAUUUGCUAAAAUAUUGGACAAAGAAAAGAAAAAAUGGCAUCUUCGAACUUCUAAAUUACCGGCCAUCUUGACGUUCUCUUGCAUGCGUAUUUGGCAAGUGGUAUCAUUUUGACUCGUCAUUUUGUCGACUCAUCAUUUCAUCCAUUCAUCUCUUCAUCAAUUUACCAUUCAGCGAGAGUGAAGAACAUUCAGCUGGGCUGAAGAAACUUUUGCUGGUCAUACCGGACAGGAGUGCAGGUCUGAAACUCCUCUCAAUGAAGGACCUUUUACAAGUGACUGAAUUGAUAGUGUAUUAAUCAAGGACACCUGUUGACAUUUGAAAGGACAAUCUGCUGAAUUUGUUACUGAUCCAUGAACAAUGGACAUUUUUUUUUUCUCAGAAGACUUAAACACACUUUCUUCUCCACUUUCUUGGACUUUUUCCUUUGCUUGUUCUUCGGAAUGAGACUAUGUUGAAAUAUCUUUUGUGUUGGAUUUCUUCAUUCUUUAAAUCAUUAGGACUUAUCACAGAUAUAGACAUUGGACUUUCACAAUAUGCAAGAAUAUCUUUUUGUAAAAACAUGCAAGAGCUUCCACAUUAUUUUGUAAUUUAAAUUUAACUAUUAUCUAUUUUUAGUAAGUGACGAAAGAAAAAAAAAAUAUAACUUCAUCUUUCUCCUACAAAAGAAAAGGGGAUAUAGACAGCCGCCAAAAGGCACCCAUAAACCCGCAUCGCUCGCAUCCAGACGCCGUUUUAUGAGCUGGCAUGCGACUGCUGUGUGGUCAGUAGGUCUGUGUUGUGUUCUUUUAUUUGCGCUAAAGCUCCUUCAAUUAUGGAAAUCUGGUAUUAUUCUAAAUUUGUAGUUGUAGUUUCUACUUCCUGUUUCAAGCGAAUUAUCUUCUUCCCAUUUAAAGAAAUUAGUUUGUUGACUUUUAAGACAAAUUUGCCAUCUUAU